AUCCAGCUGAUGAGUCCCAAAUAGGACGAAACUUGCGCUCUGGAU
rnacentral:hammerhead_ribozyme from 1 species